AGCGCUCUGCCCAGCUCCCUUGCGCACACCGCACUGAUGCGGGAGCUGGAAUAUGACGUCAGUAAGUGGCGUGCGAGGGAGCUGGGCAGAGAGUGUU